GCCGGGUGCGGUGGCGCGCGCCUGUAAUCCAAGCUGCUGGGAGUCCGAGACUGGGGGAUUGUUUGAGUUCAGGAGCUCUGAGCUGCAACGGACUAUGUCGAUCGGGUGUCCAUACUAAGUUCGGUAUCGAUAUGUGUUCCUGGGGGAGCUCGGGAAUACCAGGUCGCCUAAGGAGGGGUGCACCGGCCCAGGUCGGAAACGGAGCAGGCCAUAACUCCCGUACCGCUCAGUAGUGGGAUCGCGCCCAUGAGUAGACCCUGCGGUGCAGCCUGACCAGACAAGACACAGUCUUUU
rnacentral:SRP_RNA from 1 species